rnacentral:rRNA from 1 species
CAAUAGCGUAUAUUUAAGUUGCUGCAGUUCAAAAGCUCGUAGUUGGAUUUCGGGUGGGAAUGGCCGGUCCGCCGUUUCGGUGUGCACUUGCUACGCCCACCUUGCUGCCGGGGACGUGCUCUUGAGUUCACGCUCGGGACACGGAGUCGGCGAGGUUACUUUGAGUAAAUUAGAGUGUUCAAAGCAGGCCUACGCUCUGAAUACAUUAGCAUGGAAUAACACGAUAGGACUCUGGCCUAUCUUGUUGGUCUGUAGGACCGGAGUAAUGAUUAAGAGGGACAGUCGGGGGCAUUCGUAUUUCAUUGUCAGAGGUGAAAUUCUUGGAUUUAUGAAAGACGAACUACUGCGAAAGCAUUUGCCAAGGAUGUUUUCAUUAA